CUACGGGACGCUGCAGUGGGGAAUAUUGCACAAUGGGCGAAAGCCUGAUGCAGCAACGCCGCGUGGAGGAUGACACAUUUCGGCGCGUAAACUCCUUUUAUAUAGGAAGAUGAUGACGGUACUAUAUGAAUAAGCACCGGCUAACUCCGUGCCAGCAGCCGCGGUAAUACGGAGGGUGCAAGCGUUACUCGGAAUUACUGGGCGUAAAGAGCGUGUAGGCGGAUAGAUAAGUUGGAAGUGAAAUCCUAUGGCUCAACCAUAGAACUGCUUCCAAAACUGUCUAUCUAGAAUGUGGGAGAGGUAGAUGGAAUUUCUGGUGUAGGGGUAAAAUCCGUAGAGAUCAGAAGGAAUACCGAUUGCGAAGGCGAUCUACUGGAACAUAAUUGACGCUGAGACGCGAAAGCGUGGGGAGCAAACAGGAUUAGAUACCCGAGUAGUC
rnacentral:rRNA from 1 species